rnacentral:rRNA from 1 species
AUUGAACGCUGGCGGCAGGCUUAACACAUGCAAGUCGAACGAGCGGCGGACGGGUGAGUAAUGUCUGGGAAACUGCCUGAUGGAGGGGGAUAACUACUGGAAACGGUAGCUAAUACCGCAUACCAUCAGAUGUGCCCAGAUGGGAUUAGCUAGUAGGUGGGGUAAUGGCUCACCUAGGCGACGGUCCCUAGCUGGUCUGAGAGGAUGACCAGACACACUGGAACUGAGACACGGUCCAGACUCCUACGUGAGGCAGCAGUGGGGAUUAUUGCACAAUGGGCGCAAGCCUGAUGCAGCCAUGCCGCGUGUGUGAAGAAGGCCUUCGGGUUGUAAAGCACUUUCAGCGAGGAGGCGUUACUCGCAGAAGAAGCACCGGCUAACUCCGUGCCAGCAGCCGCGGUAAUAC